GCGGGGGUGGCCGAGAUAGGUCCAAGGCGCCAGCCUUAGGAGCUGGUGGGCAUUAGGCCCGCGUGGGUUCAAAUCCCACCCCCCGCA
rnacentral:tRNA from 1 species